GAUGAACGCUGGCGGCGUGCCUAAUACAUGCAAGUCGAGCGAAUGGAUUAAGAGCUUGCUCUUAUGAAGUUAGCGGCGGACGGGUGAGUAACACGUGGGUAACCUGCCCAUAAGACUGGGAUAACUCCGGGAAACCGUGGCAAAUACCGGAUAACAUUUUGAACCGCAUGGUUCGAAAUUGAAAGGCGGCUUCGGCUGUCACUUAUGGAUGGACCCGCGUCGCAUUAGCUAGGUGGUGAGGUAACGGCUCACCAAGGCAACGAUGCGUAGCCGACGAGAGAGGGUGAUCGGCCACACUGGGACUGAGACACGGCCCAGACUCCUACGGGAGGCAGCAGUAGGGAAUCUUCCGCAAUGGACGAAAGUCUGACGGAGCAACGCCGAGUGAGUGAUGAAGGCUUUCGGGUCGUAAAACUCUGUUGUUAGGGAAGAACAAGUGCUAGUUGAAUAAGCUGGCACCUUGACGGUACCUAACCAGAAAGCCACGGCUAACUACGUGCCAGCCGCCGCCGUAA
rnacentral:rRNA from 1 species